UCUCUGCUUGCGCAGGCAGUCUUCUUAGAGUCCUCACCAUUACGUGUUAGCAACUAAGAAUAGGGGUUGCGCUCGAUGCGGGACUUAACCCAACAUCUCACGACACGAGCUGACGACAGCCAUGCAGCACCUGUGCUAGCCCCUUACGGACACGGGCUUUCACCCGCUUUAACUAGCAUGUCAAACCCAGGUAAGGUUCUUCGCGUUGCAUCGAAUUAAGCCACAUGCUCCGCCGCUUGUGCGGGUCCCCGUCAAUUCCUUUGAGUUUUAGCCUUGCGGCCGUACUCCCCAGGCGGAGUGCUUAAUGCGUUAGCUGCGGCACAGAGAGGGUUGAAGACCUCCCCACACCUAGCACUCAACGUUUACGGCUGGGACUAC
rnacentral:misc_RNA from 1 species